rnacentral:miRNA from 1 species
UAUGGGUGGCUGGUCUCAGAAGAG